AUGAAAACAGAUUCUGCUGAAUUGCUACCUGGACAUUUAAAAAGAGCUUCCUUAGAGGAUUCCUGACUUAGCUCUAGCAAUCUUAACCAUCACAUGGGCUAAAUGAACCCUGGAUCAUUUGUUUGCCCUUUGGCAGGCUUGGAAGUUUAAGAUCAAAGUGCUGGUGAAUUCUGUUUCUGGUGAAGACCUGCUUCCUGGCUUACAGACAGCUACCAUCUCCCUGUGUGCUCACAUGACCUCUUUGUCUGAGGAAACACAAGCCAUCUUUGAGUUCCUGGUUCUGACUUCUUUGAAGACCAAAUCACCGUUUCCUUCAGCUUGAGACAAUGUUUCAGGUGAUAAGAAAAGACAAACUAUCAGAAACCCCAGAGGUGCCAAUUACCCACUUUUUUCACGCUAACAACUUGCAUUUCUAC